rnacentral:sRNA from 1 species
UAACACCGCUGGCUCGCCUUCGUACCCAUUCAUCUACCCACACAAAAGCCUUCUCGAUUAUCUCAUCUACAUUGCCCUCAUUCAAUACUUGUCCACGCAAAAUGCCUCGGAUAAGCCCUGUCACAGUGCAACAAGAUACGAUGCACCGGGGAUCUGCGUGUGUGAUGGCUGAGUAAUCUGCGGCAAUCUGGAAGGGUCUCUGGAAGUGUAGCAAAGAUGCAUAUCACGCCCAACGGGUGUGUGCGCAUCAACGAUCCAUUUGGUGCUAUGUUUCUAUUUGAUUUAACCCAGCAAUCAUAGGCGACUUGGACAGGGCUGUCAAGAUAGUUCUUACUGAGAACUACCUGAAAAUCGUGUUUUGCGGCGUAGCAGAAGCGUCGUUAGCUUGUGUAUAUCUGUGCAACCUAGAAAAACAAAAUGAACAGAGA